CGGGGGGAGCAAGCGUUGUUCGGAUUUACUGGGCGUAAAGGGCGCGUAGGCGGCCACCGCAAGUCGACUGUGAAAUCUCCGGGCUUAACUCGGAAAGGUCAGCCGAUACUGCGGGGCUAGAGUGCAGAAGGGGCAACUGGAAUUCUCGGUGUAGCGGUGAAAUGCGUAGAUAUUGAGAGGAACACCUGCGGCGAAGGCGGGUUGCUGGGCUGACACUGACGCUGAGGCGCGAAAGCUAGGGGAGCGAACGGGAUUAGAUACCCCGGUAGUCCUAGCCUUAAACGAUGAAUGCUUGGUGUCUGGGGUUUUAUAGUCCCCGGGUGCCGUCGCUAACGCUUUAAGCAUUCCGCCUGGGGAGUACGGUCGCAAGACUG
rnacentral:rRNA from 1 species